rnacentral:rRNA from 1 species
UACGGGGGGGGCAAGCGUUGUUCGGAAUUACUGGGCGUAAAGGGCUCGUAGGCGGCCAACUAAGUCAGACGUGAAAUCCCUCGGCUUAACCGGGGAACUGCGUCUGAUACUGGAUGGCUAGAGAUUGGGAGAGGGAUGCGGAAUUCCAGGUGUAGCGGUGAAAUGCGUAGAUAUCAGGAGGAACACCAGUAGCGAAGGCGGCACUCUGGGCCGGUACUGACGCUGAGGAGCGAAAGCGUGGGGAGCGAACAGG